UACGCUGAGGUUUGCAUCGGUUCUAGCGGGAAGCAGUCGCUAGAGGUAACGGGGAAAGAGUAGUGCAAAGCUACCGCUGUCCCGCAACUGUGAUGAGAUUACUUCUCUGAGCCAGAAUGCCCGCCGAAGCCGCUCAGCGUGC
rnacentral:ncRNA from 2 species